rnacentral:rRNA from 1 species
AUAGCUACUUGCAUCAUUGAAAAUAUGAUGCAAGAUCGACUAUGUCGAAUAAAAUUCUAGGUAGAAUUAUGAUAAUGACAUUGUCUGCCUAUGUGUCUUGACCAAAUUACGUGCCAGCAGUCGCGGUAAUACGUAGAAGACUAGUGUUAUUCAUGUUUAAUCGGUUUAAAGGGUACCUAGACGGUAAAUCAAGCCUAAAAGGAAGGAAAUAAAGGGACUAAUUUACUAGAGUUACUUAUGAGGGGGUAUUAAAGUACUGCUGGUGUAGAGAUGAAAUUCUGUCAUACCUCUUUUCAAUAGAAAAAUAAUGGCACAGGUAUAGGCGAAAGCAUCCCCUUAUGUGAUAACUGACGUUGAGGGACGAAGGCUUUGUGUAGCGAACAGGAUUAGAUACCCCAGUAGUCAAAGCAGAAAAUGAUGAAUGUCAUAGAUUAGAUAUAUAAGUUUAUUCUAUAAAUGAAAGUGUAAGCAUUCCACCUCAAGAGUAAUUUGGCAACAUUGGAACUGAAAUCAUUAGACCGUUUCUGAAACCAGUAGUGAAGUAUGUUGUUUAAUUUGAUAAUCCGCAAAAAACCUUACCACCAAUUUGAAUAUUUAUAUUUUUUUUAUUGUUUUUCUUUUUAAUUUUCUUCCGAUUUUCUAGUUAAAGGAAAAUUAGAAGAAAAAGAAAAAAGAGGCAAUAAGA